rnacentral:misc_RNA from 1 species
GAUGAAGAACGUAGCGAAAUGCGAUAAGUAAUGUGAAUUGCAGAAUUCAGUGAAUCAUCGAAUCUUUGAACGCACAUUGCGCCCGCCAGUAUUCUGGCGGGCAUGCCUGUUCGAGCGUCAUUUCAACCAUCAAGCCCCCGGCUUGUGUUGGGGACCUGCGGCUGCCGCAGGCCCUGAAAAGCAGUGGCGGGCUCGCUGUCACACCGAGCGUAGUAGCAUACAUCUCGCUCUGGGCGUGCUGCGGGGUCCGGCCGUUAAACCACCUUCAUAACCCAAGGUUGACCUCGGAUCAGGUAGGAAGACCCGCUGAACUUAAGCAUAUCAAUAAGCGGAGGA